rnacentral:rRNA from 1 species
GUGCCAGCAGCCGCGGUAAUACGGAAGGUCCUGGCGUUAUCCGGAUUUAUUGGGUUUAAAGGGAGCGUAGGCCGGGGUCUAAGCGUGCCGUGAAAUUCUGCGGCUCAACCGCAUGCGUGCGCGCGAACUGGUCCCCUUGAGUGGUCUGUAGGCGCGCGGAAUUCGUGGUGUAGCGGUGAAAUGCUUAGAUAUCACGAGGAACCCCGAUUCGAAAGGCAGCGCGCCGCGGUCCCACUGACGCUGAAGCUCGAAGGCGCGGGUAUCGAACAGGAUUAGAUACCCUGGUAGUCCGCGCGGUAAACGAUGGACGCUCGCUGUGGGUGUUUUUUGCGCCCGCGGCCAAGCGAAAGCGUUAAGCGUCCCACCUGGGGAGUACGCCGGCAACGGUGAAACUCAAAGGAAUUGACGGGGGCCCGCACAAGCGGAGGAACAUGUGGUUUAAUUCGAUGAUACGCGAGGAACCUUACCCGGGCUUGAACUGCGCAGGAAUGCGGUGGAGACACCAAAGCCCCUCGGGGCCUGCGCGGAGGUGCUGCAUGGUUGUCGUCAGCUCGUGCCGUGAGGUGUCGGCUUAAGUGCCAUAACGAGCGCAACCCCUCUCCUCAGUUGCCAUCAGGCUAUGCUGGGCACUCUGGGGACACUGCCACCGCAAGGUGCGAGGAAGGUGGGGACGACGUCAAAUCAGCACGGCCCUUACGUCCGGGGCUACACACGUGUUACAAUGGCGCGUACAGAGGGCAGGCGGCCGGGACGUCCGUCGAAUCCUCAAAUCGCGUCCUAGUUCGGACUGGGUCUGCAACCCGACCCCACGAAGCUGGAUUCGCUAGUAAUCGCGCAUCAGCCAUGGCGCGGUGAAUACGUUCCCGGGCCUUGUACACACCGCCCGU